UUUGCACUCAGCCUGAGAUCCUGUGUAUAUAAGGUGCAGACCAGCUGGAUACUUCAUUCAGCAACACAGAAUAAGAUCCAUCUGCCAGACAUCUGUAUCCGCAGCAGCAAUGGACCCUCAGGACUGUAACUGCACAAAAGGUGCCUCCUGUUCCUGCAGAGAUUCCUGCCAGUGUCAGAACUGCAAUUGUGCAUCAUGCAAGAAAAGCUGCUGCUCCUGCUGUCGGGGUGAGUGCAGUAAGUGCAGCCAGGGCUGUGUGUGCACAGAGGGAUGUGGGACCUGCAGCUGCUGCCAGUGACCUGUUCUGCACUUAAGAUGGACUCUACUACUAUCUGACCCCUAUAGUGUGUCUUAUAUUUCUCUAAUGAGUGUGAUGUAUGCAGUAUCUAUGUAAUGCCUAUUACAGUAUGCAUUCUCAAUGUAAUGUCUAAUACACUGAUCCAGAUUGGUUUUCUUAUUAAAAUGUAUAUGAACUA